ACGGGAAGAGCCCAAACCAACAAGCUUGCUUGUUGGGGUUGUAGGACACUCUAUACGGAGUUACAAAGGACGACAUUAGACGAAUCAUCUGGAAAGAUGAAUCAAAGAAGGUAAUAAUCCUGUAGUCGAAAAUGUUGUCUCUCUUGAGUGGAUCCUGAGUACGACGGAGCACGUGAAAUUCCGUCGGAAUCUGGGAGGACCAUCUCCUAAGGCUAAAUACUCUCUAGUGACCGAUAGUGAACCAGUACCGUGAGGGAAAGGUGAAAAGCACCCCGGAAGGGGAGUGAAAUAGAACCUGAAACCGUGUGCUUACAAGUAGUCAGAGCCCGUUAAUGGGUGAUGGCGUGCCUUUUGUAGAAUGAACCGGCGAGUUACGAUUUGAUGCAAGGUUAAGCAGUAAAUGUGGAGCCGU
rnacentral:rRNA from 1 species